rnacentral:lncRNA from 1 species
AAAAAAAAGUGCAAAGAAAAUAAAGGGCCUAUUGUGUAUACAUUCAUUCAUGUUUAUGCCCUAUAUGUAUAUGUUAGAGUUGAUGCAUACUUUUUGAGGAUUGUGGAUAUCUUGAGGAGCUACUCUAGAGUUUUAUUGAUGGAAGGUCUGGUGUGUUUGCAUGUUUUCAGUCAUAUAUUGAGCCUCUUUGAUCCCUUUUUCUUGUUUAUCCCACCAAUACGUACCCUAGCCCCAUUACAACCAAAUUGCAAGACCUUUUGAUUUGUGCAUUGGUUCCAUAUUUUGGUGGAGAUAGUGACAUAAGGGCAAGCUGUG